AUUGAACGCUGGCGGCAGGCCUAACACAUGCAAGUCGAGCGAGCGUCGGACGGGUGAGUAAUGUAUGGGGAUAUGCCCGUUAGAGGGGGAUAACUACUGGAAACGGUGGCUAAUACCGCAUACUGUCGGAUGAACCCCUAUGGGAUUAGCUAGUAGGUAAGGUAAUGGCUUACCUAGGCGACGCUCCCCAGCUGGGCUGUGAGGAUGAUCAGCCACACUGGGACUGGGACACGGCCCAGACUCCUACGGGAGGCAGCAGGGGGGAAUAUUGCACAAUGGGGGCAAGCCUGAUGCAGCCAUGCCGCGUGUAUGAAGAAGGCCCUAGGGUUGUAAAGCUCGUUAAUCGGGACGACGGUACCGGAAUAGAAAGCCACGGCUAACUACGUGCCAGCAGCCGCGGUAAUAC
rnacentral:rRNA from 1 species